GCUGUUUUCUCACCAUUUAUUUCUACUUUGCACAUAACAUUAGAUAACUGUUCUCUCUUCCCUCCAACAGAUGAGGUCUGUGCUUUCAAGGAUCUAUUUUCAAGGGUGGUUUCAGUUCAAUGCACCCUAAGGAAAAAGGAAGUGGUAACCAGCUUCUCCCUCCAUCUGAUAUUCAGGAUGUAGAAGGAGUUCUCUUCUGAUUGAAUAUGAUUCUAGAUAAGAUGGGC
rnacentral:lncRNA from 12 species